rnacentral:rRNA from 1 species
GACCAGACUCCUACGGGAGGCAGCAGUGGGGAAUAUUGCACAAUGGGGGAAACCCUGAUGCAGCGACGCCGCGUGAGCGAUGAAGUAUUUCGGUAUGUAAAGCUCUACCAGCAGGGAAGAAGAUGACGGUACCUGACUAAGAAGCCCCGGCUAACUACGUGCCAGCAGCCGCGGUAAUACGUAGGGGGCAAGCGUUAUCCGGAUUUACUGGGUGUAAAGGGAGCGUAGACGGCGAUGCAAGCCAGAUGUGAAAGCCCGGGGCUCAACCCCGGGACUGCAUUUGGAACUGUGUGGCUGGAGUGUCGGAGAGGCAGGCGGAAUUCCUAGUGUAGCGGUGAAAUGCGUAGAUAUUAGGAGGAACACCAGUGGCGAAGGCGGCCUGCUGGACGAUGACUGACGUUGAGGCUCGAAAGCGUGGGGAGCAAACAGGAUUAGAUACCCGGGUAACG